rnacentral:rRNA from 1 species
GUCUAUGGCCAUGCUACUCUGAACAAACCUGAUACCAUCUGAUCUCAGAAGCUAAGCAGGGUCAGGUCUGGUUACUACUUCGAUGGGAGACCACCCAGGAAGACCAGGUGCCGCAGGCA